GAAAUUGAAUGCCAGUUUUAUUGUUGUUAUUAUCUCAGAAGCGUUUUGUUAAUUUCAUCAACUUAUGCAUAUAAUAACGCGAGUGUUGCAAUUAUUACGAAAGCAUAUGUACAUAAUCAACUAAACUAUUGCAACAAAAAUGUAGCCAUUUGUUAGGCCAGUGUAUGCGAAUCUGCAAAGCGUAUGGCAUAAAUUUAGCAAUACGACGAAGACACCACCCACAAAACCGACAAAUUGAACAUUUGCGUUUUGUUUCUUCACUGAAUCAAUUCCUAUUAGCACAGUUGGCGUGUCGUUACACACAAAUUGCGUAAAUUGCGCACUGAUUGUGCGUUAUUCUUGGAGCAGCAAUUAACUAAACAUUACGUGCAGUGAGUAACAGAGCAAAGGGCAGAGCGAGGUCGUGCGGCGAGAAUAACGACAGCUGCACCAUAAAAAACGUUAACAACGACGUUCACGGUUAAGGCCCCAAACUAGCUUGUAUGGGGUGCACCACCCACUUAUAGCCGCUUGCAUUAGUCACAAAACCGUGAAACGAAAAUGUGGACUAGUAAGACGGCAGCCAACAGUUCACUUGGGGCAGCGAUGUGGCUACGAAUUGCACAACAAACUGAACUGAAAC